rnacentral:piRNA from 1 species
UUCAAUAUGACUUGGUGCUCAACCACAUUC